AUUGAACGCUGGCGGCAGGCUUAACACAUGCAAGUCGAGCGGGGUGAUGGUGCUUGCACUAUCACUUAGCGGCGGACGGGUGAGUAAUGCUUAGGAAUCUGCCUAUUAGUGGGGGACGACAUCUCGAAAGGGAUGCUAAUACCGCAUACGUCCUACGGGAGAAAGCAGGGGAUCACUUGUGACCUUGCGCUAAUAGAUGAGCCUAAGUCGGAUUAGCUAGUUGGUGGGGAAAGGCCUACCAAGGCGACGAUCUGUAGCGGGUCUGAGAGGAUGAUCCGCCACACUGGGACUGAGACACGGCCCAGACUCCUACGGGAGGCAGCAGUGGGGAAUAUUGGACAAUGGGGGGAACCCUGAUCUAACCAUGCCGCGUGUGUGAAGAAGGCCUUAUGGUUGUAAAGCACUUUAAGCGAGGAGGAGGCUCUUUUGGUUAAUACCCAAGAUGAGUGGACGUUACUCGCAGAAUAAGCACCGGCUAACUCUGUGCCAGCCGCCGCGGUAA
rnacentral:rRNA from 1 species